rnacentral:tRNA from 1 species
GAGGGUGUAGCUGAGUGGUAGAGUGCAUGCUUAGCAUGCACAAGGUCCUGGGUUCAAUCCUCAGUACCUCCA